UUUUUUGUAUCCAUGUGAGAGAAACAGAAUGCUGACAUCAUCCUUCGAUAACAGGGGUGGCAUAGGACAUGGUUGGUAGCCGAUGGUGCAUCAUGAACAUUUGAAGGAAGGAGGUGCUCGACUGGUUAUUUUUGUGUGAUGGCCGAGGACCCCUUCUUUGAGUGAAGCAUGACCCUAAUAAGUGCAACAACAACAUCGCCAUCACCUGAGUAGGCCACAAGCACGACUCAUCUGCUAUGUCAGUAAAAGGUUUGAUGUGCUACAAGAAUAAUGUGAAGUAUGGAUUUGUUUUUCGAUGAAAUAUGGUUUCCUUAUUACUUCAGUAAAUGCCUGAGUAGUGAGUACCAUGUAUCAGAUUGGGUUAUUGUCGUUUAAAUAUUUUGCAUAUAUGUUUUAAAACUAAGGGCCCUUAAUAAACUAAGUGUACCUGUCUUUUGUUUGUUUUUUAGCACCAUUUCGCUUCAGUUAGCUGAAGGACAAUACAAUGAGCAAUCUUCUACCAUUUGGUUCUGUGCUUUUUCAUGUCAAUGAGAUGACCGAGCCAACACACUCAGAUUCUUUGUACUCUGUUAUUUACUCAAUUUCUUACUGGCAGCCCUGUUCUCAAGUGUCAUAAAUCCUUUUAUAUCUAUUUUCUGCAAGGGAUGUAUGUACUUCCAUCGGCUAUGCACACUAGGUUUUCUCUUGGGAUAACAUUUUAUUUUUCACCUGUAGCUAAACACUGCCUCCUGUAGAUUUUUGUGUGUAAUUUAUGGGAAUUUAUGUUAUCAUCGACUAUGCUAUUGGUGUGUAUACUUUCAUGGUUUGAUCAGCAUGAAGAAUACCAGCCGAGGAAACAAUAUGAUCCAGAGAUCCAAGCCUUUUGAUCCCGGACAGUCGGACACACUACUACCCAGUACCCAGUAGAGAAACAGCAAAUUAAGAAGCUGUGAACCAGAUGCUAAAUAUUGUAGCCUGUAAGACUUUGGAAAAAUAUUGUUAGCUUGAAAGGAACAACGAAGAAGACAUUAUCGUACUGCG